GACGAACGCUGGCGGCGUGCCUAAUACAUGCAAGUAGAACGCUGAAGGAGGAGCUUGCUUCUCUGGAUGAGUUGCGAACGGGUGAGUAACGCGUAGGUAACCUGCCUGGUAGUGGGGGAUAACUAUUGGAAACGAUAGCUAAUACCGCAUAAUAGCAGUUGUUGCAUGAUAACUGUUUGAAAGGUGCAAUUGCACCGCUACCAGAUGGACCUGCGUUGUAUUAGCUAGUUGGUGGGGUAACGGCUCACCAAGGCGACGAUACAUAGCCGACCUGAGAGGGUGAUCGGCCACACUGGGACUGAGACACGGCCCAGACUCCUACGGGAGGCAGCAGUAGGGAAUCUUCGGCAAUGGACGGAAGUCUGACCGAGCAACGCCGCGUGAGUGAAGAAGGUUGUCGGAUCGUAAAGCUCUGUUGUAAGAGAAGAACGAGUGUGAGAGUGGAAAGUUCACACUGUGACGGUAUCUGACCAGAAAGGGACGGCUAACUACGUG
rnacentral:rRNA from 1 species